AUAUGCAUUGUGGCAGGACAGUUUAUCGUUUGCCUAUUUUCCUGCGAGGUACUGUGUUCAUCCAGGUCAUAGCUUGAGUCUAAUGAAAUGUUUCAGUUGAUGGCUUUUUGUGUAUGCAGUUGGACUUGGGAUUUAUUAAGCUAUAAUGUUUUGCUCUUUGUUUGUUCCUGCGUAUUCUCACUAUUACUUUUCAAAUUACCUGCGAACAAGUUUUCCAGGUGUGCUUCAGCUAUGCUUGGCAAAAAUAUGUUGCUGAAGUUUAUCGCCAUCAUGCUGAGGUUGCAGUGUUAGCUAGCUGAUCAAAUGAGAGUCUGAGCUUGAUUUCGCAUUUAAGGUUCAAAACUAAUUUCAAGCUGAAAUCAAACAAAUGCUUCAUUUCAAGUUGAAUUUGAUCAUACCCAGGCUUGAUCAUGUCCUAGUGAUGGCUGCAAAAGUGUUGCCUUCGCCUUUGUGCCGUGUAGUUCAUGAUUCAUGCCUUCUCCUUCCCUUCUUUAGUCCUCUUUGAUUGGGGAGAGGUCCUGGCCUCUGGUUUAUCUAGUCAAACCAGCAUGAUGGGUGGGUUCGAAAGGGUUCGAAGUUGUUUGGUAUUUCCUUUUUAUAUUUGGGUAUGGUAAGCCGCUUGCAU
rnacentral:lncRNA from 1 species